UUGGGAAUAAGCAAACUUCCACUGUAAAGUCUUUGGGAACCCAUUCAUCAGGCUGUACAUGUGAAAACACACAGUUUACAGGAAGAUAAGCCUGCAUCCAGUCCUUGUGAUGCUAAUGGGUCAGUCUUCCUGGUUAAUGAAACAGUCCAAACAAAGAUCAUUACUCCUAAGAAACUUGAAACUCCACAGAAGACCUCCACCAAUAUCUUAUCAAAUAGCAAUAAAGAACUGAGUGUUGAUGAGACGUGUGAAAAUAAAUCCAACCAGUCCUUGAGCCGUGAAUCAAAGUUGCUCAAAAACUCUACUGAUGAACAUUUGCUUUCUGCUGAGACAAAAGCACAUGACGUAUCAAAUACCAAUUCUGCAGCUCUUCAACAAGGUUCAGAAGAAGAAUUAAAUCCUGUUUUGAUGGCUUUGAAAAGGAGUGCAGAUAGGAAAAUGCCUUCCAAAAGUCUAGAGGACUAUUCCAUCAGCCACCUCAAAUAA
rnacentral:lncRNA from 1 species